rnacentral:rRNA from 1 species
GACAGAGGGUGCAAACGUUGUUCGGAAUUACUGGGCGUAAAGCGCUUGUAGGCGGCUCGGCAAGUCGGAUGUGAAAGCCCAGGGCUCAACCCUGGAAGUGCACUCGAAACUCCCGAGCUGGAGUCCCGGAGAGGAAGGCGGAAUUCUCGGUGUAGAGGUGAAAUUCGUAGAUAUCGAGAGGAACACCUGUGGCGAAGGCGGCCUUCUGGACGGUGACUGACGCUGAGAUGCGAAAGCGUGGGGAGCAAACAGG